GGCUCAACUAAGUUGAGGAAUACCAGAUUGUCAGCAUUAGCAUCCAUUUCUUCAUCUUCAUUUCUUGAAGCAUCAAAGGUUUCUUGAAGCUUUAAGGUUGUAUGGUCAUGGCUGGCGCCAAAUAGAAGAGCAUGUAGGCACUAAAUCUGUAGUUCAAAUUCGAAGCCAUGCUCAAAAGCUUUUCUCUAAGGCUCAUUGCUUUGACUUCAUUACAAGAUUUCUUUGAUUAAGUAAAUGUAUUAUAUCUUUUAUUACCAAGAUUUACUUGAUUAAGAAAAUGCAUUGUAUUUUUUAUUACCUUGCAAUGUGUAUAGUCAUAGGCAGGUUCAACUA